CCUACGGGAGGCAGCAGUGGGGAAUUUUGGACAAUGGGCGCAAGCCUGAUCCAGCCAUGCCGCGUGUGGGAAGAAGGCCUUCGGGUUGUAAACCACUUUUGUCAGGGAAGAAACGGCUCUUACUAAUAUUAGGAGCUAAUGACGGUACCUGAAGAAUAAGCACCGGCUAACUACGUGCCAGCAGCCGCGGUAAUACGUAGGGUGCAAGCGUUAAUCGGAAUUACUGGGCGUAAAGCGUGCGCAGGCGGCUUUGCAAGACAGAUGUGAAAUCCCCGGGCUCAACCUGGGAACUGCAUUUGUGACUGCAUGGCUAGAGUACGGUAGAGGGGGAUGGAAUUCCGCGUGUAGCAGUGAAAUGCGUAGAUAUGCGGAGGAACACCGAUGGCGAAGGCAAUCCCCUGGACCUGUACUGACGCUCAUGCACGAAAGCGUGGGGAGCAAACAGGAUUAGAUACCCUGGUAGUCCACGCCCUAAACGAUGUCAACUGGUUGUUGGACGGCUUGCUGUUCAGUAACGAAGCUAACGCGUGAAGUUGACCGCCUGGGGAGUACGGCCGCAAGGUUGAAACUCAAAGGAUUGACGG
rnacentral:rRNA from 1 species